rnacentral:rRNA from 1 species
AACGAACGCUGGCGGCAUGCCUAACACAUGCAAGUCGAACGAGACCUUCGGGUCUAGUGGCGCACGGGUGCGUAACGCGUGGGAACCUGCCCUUAGGUUCGGAAUAACUCCCCGAAAGGGGUGCUAAUACCGGAUAAUGUCUUCGGACCAAAGAUUUAUCGCCUUUGGAUGGGCCCGCGUUGGAUUAGCUAGUUGGUAGGGUAAAAGCCUACCAAGGCGACGAUGCAUAGCUGGUCUGAGAGGAUGAUCAGCCACACUGGGACUGAGACACGGCCCAGACUCCUGCGGGAGGCAGCAGUGGGGAAUAUUGGACAAUGGGCGAGAGCCUGAUCCAGCAAUGCCGCGUGAGUGAUGAAGGCCUUAGGGUUGUAAAGCUCUUUUACCCGGGAUGAUAAUGACAGUACCGGGAGAAUAAGCACCGGCUAACUCCGUG